rnacentral:rRNA from 1 species
AAUAGAUACCCGGGUAGUCCACGCCGUAAACGAUGAGUGCUAAGUGUUAGAGGGUUUCCGCCCUUUAGUGCUGCAGCAAACGCAAUAAGCACUCCGCCUGGGGAGUACGACCGCAAGGUUGAAACUCAAAGGAAUUGACGGGGGCCCGCACAAGCGGUGGAGCAUGUGGUUUAAUUCGAAGCAACGCGAAGAACCUUACCAGGUCUUGACAUCCUCUGACAAUCCUAGAGAUAGGACUUUCCCCUUCGGGGGACAGAGUGACAGGUGGUGCAUGGUUGUCGUCAGCUCGUGUCGUGAGAUGUUGGGUUAAGUCCCGCAACGAGCGCAACCCUUGAUCUUAGUUGCCAGCAUUUAGUUGGGCACUCUAAGGUGACUGCCGGUGACAAACCGGAGGAAGGUGGGGAUGACGUCAAAUCAUCAUGCCCCUUAUGACCUGGGCUACACACGUGCUACAAUGGAUGGUACAAAGGGCUGCAAGACCGCGAGGUUUAGCCAAUCCCAUAAAACCAUUCUCAGUUCGGAUUGUAGG